GAUGAACGCUGGCGGCGUGCUUAACACAUGCAAGUCGAACGAAGCACUUAGGAAAGAUUCUUCGGAUGAAAGCCUUUGUGACUGAGUGGCGGACGGGUGAGUAACGCGUGGGUAACCUACCUCAUACAGGGGGAUAACAGUUGGAAACGACCGCUAAUACCGCAUAAGCCAACAGAACCGCAUGGUUUGGUUGGAAAAGAUUUAUCGGUAUGAGAUGGACCCGCGUCUGAGUAGCCAGUUGGCAGGGUAACGGCCUACCAAAGCGACGAUCAGUAGCCGGCCUGAGAGGGUGAACGGCCACAUUGGGACUGAGACACGGCCCAA
rnacentral:rRNA from 1 species